GCUCGGAAUGCCUGCAACCCUUAUUACGGCAUUCUCUCAUUGUGACUUCUACUCAGGUGCAGUCUCCAAACAUGCUGAAAGUGUUCUGCUCUGUGCUGCAGUAGGAAGACACCCGUCCCCCUAUCAACACCUCUGGUCUCCAUUAUGGGAUCUUCUUAAGUGGUUAAGAUCCAGUCCAAAGCCUUGUAGAAGCCAAGCAAGUACUCUGCGACUGAGCUAUACCCUCAGCAUUUUGGGUCAGCAAUUCUCGAUUGUCACCUCUGGUGUCAUGUGAUUGAUACUCCAGGACACGAUACUUACGGUACAUUUGUCCUCAUCUGCAAGGAAGCAUGGCGGUAUCCACUUUG